UGCAAGUCGAACGAUGAUGCCCAGCUUGCUGGGCGGAUUAGUGGCGAACGGGUGAGUAAUACGUGAGUAACCUGCCCUUGACUCUGGGAUAAGCCUGGGAAACUGGGUCUAAUACUGGAUACUACCUCUUGCCGCAUGGUGGGUGGUGGAAAGGGUUUUACUGGUUUUGGAUGGGCUCACGGCCUAUCAGCUUGUUGGUGGGGUAAUGGCUCACCAAGGCGACGACGGGUAGCCGGCCUGAGAGGGUGACCGGCCACACUGGGACUGAGACACGGCCCAGACUCCUACGGGAGGCAGCAGUGGGGAAUAUUGCACAAUGGGCGGAAGCCUGAUGCAGCGACGCCGCGUGAGGGAUGACGGCCUUCGGGUUGUAAACCUCUUUCAGUAGGGAAGAAGCGAGAGUGACGGUACCUGCAGAAGAAGCGCCGGCUAACUACGUGCCAGCAGCCGCGGUAAUACGUAGGGCGCAAGCGUUGUCCGGAAUUAUUGGGCGUAAAGAGCUCGUAGGCGGUUUGUCGCGUCUGCUGUGAAAGCCCGGGGCUCAACCCCGGGUCUGCAGUGGGUACGGGCAGACUAGAGUGCAGUAGGGGAGACUGGAAUUCCUGGUGUAGCGGUGAAAUGCGCAGAUAUCAGGAGGAACACCGAUGGCGAAGGCAGGUCUCUGGGCUGUUACUGACGCUGAGGAGCGAAAGCAUGGGGAGCGAACAGGAUUAGAUACCCUGGUAGUCCAUGCCGUAAACGUUGGGCACUAGGUG
rnacentral:rRNA from 1 species